rnacentral:rRNA from 1 species
AGUGAACGCUGGCGGUAGGCCUAACACAUGCAAGUCGAACGGCAGCACAGUAAGAGCUUGCUCUUACGGGUGGCGAGUGGCGGACGGGUGAGGAAUACAUCGGAAUCUACUUUUUCGUGGGGGAUAACGUAGGGAAACUUACGCUAAUACCGCAUACGACCUACGGGUGAAAGCAGGGGAUCUUCGGACCUUGCGCGAUUGAAUGAGCCGAUGUCGGAUUAGCUAGUUGGCGGGGUAAAGGCCCACCAAGGCGACGAUCCUUAGCUGGUCUGAGAGGAUGAUCAGCCACACUGGAACUGAGACGCGGUCCAGACUCCUACGGGAGGCAGCAGUGGGGAAUAUUGGACAAUGGGCGCAAGCCUGAUCCAGCCAUACCGCGUGGGUGAAGAAGGCCUUCGGGUUGUAAAGCCCUUUUGUUGGGAAAGAAAAGCAGCAGGUUAAUACCCCGCUGUUCUGACGGUACCCAAAGAAUAAGCACCGGCUAACUUCGUG